AUUGAACGCUGGCGGCAUGCCUUACACAUGCAAGUCGAACGGCAGCACGGGUGCUUGCACCUGGUGGCGAGUGGCGAACGGGUGAGUAAUACAUCGGAACAUGUCCUGUAGUGGGGGUAGCCCGGCGAAGCCGGAUUAAUACCGCAUACGAUCCACCGAUGAAAGCGGGGGACCUUCGGGCCUCGCGCUAUAGGGUUGGCCGAUCGCUGAUUAGCUACUUGGUGGGGUAAAGGCCUACCAAGGCGACGAUCAGUAGCUGGUCUGHGAGGACGACCAGCCACACUGGGACUGAGACACGGCCAGACUCCUACGGGAGGCAGCAGUGGGGAAUUUUGGACAAUGGGCGAAAGCCUGAUCCAGCAAUGCCGCGUUGUGUGAAGAAGGCCUUCGGGUUGUAAAGCACUUUUGUCCGGAAAGAAUCCUUGGUUCUAAUAUAGCCGGGGGAUGACGGUACCGGAAUAAGCACCGGCUAACUACGUGCCAGCAGCCGCGGUAAUACGUAGGUGCGAGCGUUAAUCGGAAUUACUGGGCGUAAAGCGUGCGCAGGCGGUUUGCUAAGACCAUGUGAAAUCCCCGGGCUCAACCUGGGAACUGCAUUGGUGACUGGCAGGCUAGAGUAUGGCAGAGGGGGGUAGAAUUCCACGUGUAGCUAGCAGUGAAAUGCGUAGAGAUGUGGAGGAAUACCGAUGGCGAAGGCAGCCCCCUGGGCCAAUACUGACGCUCAUGCACGAAAGCGUGGGGAGCAAACAGGAUUAGAUACCCUGGUAGUCCACGCCCUAAACGAUGUCAACUAGUUGUUGGGGAUUCAUUUCCUUAGUAACGUAGCUAACGCGUGAAGUUGACCGCCUGGGGAGUACGGUCGCAAGAUUAAAACUCAAAGGAAUUGACGGGGACCCGCACAAGCGGUGGAUGAUGUGGAUUAAUUCGAUGCAACGCGAAAACCUUACCUACCCUUCGUGUCGUGAGAUGUUGGGUUAAGUCCCGCAACGAGCGCAACCCUUGUCCUUAGUUGCUACGCAAGAGCACUCUAAGGAG
rnacentral:rRNA from 1 species